rnacentral:rRNA from 1 species
AUUGAACGCUGGCGGCAGGCUUAACACAUGCAAGUCGAGCGAGCGGAGGACGGGAGAGAAAUGUAUGGGAAACGGCCUGAUGGAGGGGGAUAACUACUGGAAACGGUAGCUAAUACCACAUACCAUCAGGUGUGCCCAGAUGGGAUUAGCUAGUAGGUGGGGUAAUGGCUCAACUAGGCGACGAUCCCUAGCUGGUCUUAGAGGAUGACGAGCGACACGGGAAAUGAUACACGGUCCAGAGUCCAAAGUGAGGCAGCAGUGGGGAGUAUGGCACAAUGGGCACGAGCCUGAUGCAGCCAGCCCGCGUGCGGGAAGAAGGCUUUCGGGUUGUAAAGCACUUUCAGCGAGGAGGGGUUACUCGCAGAAGAAGCACCGGCUAACUCCGUGCCAGCAGCCGCGGUAAUUC